UUCCGGUUGAUCCUGCCGGACCCGACUGCUAUCAGAGUGGGACUAAGCCAUGCGAGUCAACAUAGCAAUAUGUGGCAUACGGCUCAGUAACACGUAGUCAACAUGCCCAGGGGACGUGGAUAACCUCGGGAAACUGAGGAUAAACCGCGAUAAGUCACUGCUUCUGGAAUGGGCAAUGACUUAAAUCUAUAUGGCCCCUGGAUUGGACUGCGGCCGAUCAGGCUGUUGGUGAGGUAAUGGCCCACCAAACCUGUAACCGGUACGGGCUCUGAGAGGAGGAGCCCGGAGAUGGGCACUGAGACAAGGGCCCAGGCCCUAUGGGGCGCAGCAGGCGCGAAACCUCUGCAAUAGGCGAAAGCCUGACAGGGUUACUCUGAGUGAUUUCCGUUAAGGAGAUCUUUUGGCACCUCUAAAAAUGGUGCAGAAUAAGGGGUGGGCAAGUCUGGUGUCAGCCGCCGCGGUAAUACCAGCACCCCGAGUGGUCGGGACGUUUAUUGGGCCUAAAGCAUCCGUAGCCGGUUCCGCAAGUCUUCCGUUAAAUCCACCUGCUUAACAGAUGGGCUGCGGAAGAUACUAUAGAGCUAGGAGGCGGGAGAGGCAAGCGGUACUCGAUGGGUAGGGGUAAAAUCCGUUGAUCCAUUGAAGACCACCAGUGGCGAAGGCGGCUUGCCAGAAUGCGCUCCACGGCGAGGGAUGAAAGCUGGGGGAGCAAACCGGAUUAGAUACCCGGGUAGUCCCAG
rnacentral:rRNA from 1 species